rnacentral:rRNA from 1 species
AGAGUUUGAUCAUGGCUCAGAUUGAACGCUGGCGGCAGGCCUAACACAUGCAAGUCGAACGGUAACAGGAAGAAGCUUGCUUCUUUGCUGACGAGUGGCGGACGGGUGAGUAAUGUCUGGGAAACUGCCUGAUGGAGGGGGAUAACUACUGGAAACGGUAGCUAAUACCGCAUAACGUCGCAAGACCAAAGAGGGGGACCUUCGGGCCUCUUGCCAUCGGAUGUGCCCAGAUGGGAUUAGCUAGUAGGUGGGGUAACGGCUCACCUAGGCGACGAUCCCUAGCUGGUCUGAGAGGAUGACCAGCCACACUGGAACUGAGACACGGUCCAGACUCCUACGGGAGGCAGCAGUGGGGAAUAUUGCACAAUGGGCGCAAGCCUGAUGCAGCCAUGCCACGUGUAUGAAGAAGGCCUUCGGGUUGUAAAGUACUUUCAGCGGGGAGGAAGGGAGUAAAGUUAAUACCUUUGCUCAUUGACGUUACCCGCAGAAGAAGCACCGGCUAACUCCGUGCCAGCAGCCGCGGUAAUACGGAGGGUGCAAGCGUUAAUCGGAAUUACUGGGCGUAAAGCGCACGCAGGCGGUUUGUUAAGUCAGAUGUGAAAUCCCCGGGCUCAACCUGGGAACUGCAUCUGAUACUGGCAAGCUUGAGUCUCGUAGAGGGGGGUAGAAUUCCAGGUGUAGCGGUGAAAUGCGUAGAGAUCUGGAGGAAUACCGGUGGCGAAGGCGGCCCCCUGGACGAAGACUGACGCUCAGGUGCGAAAGCGUGGGGAGCAAACAGGAUUAGAUACCCUGGUAGUCCACGCCGUAAACGAUGUCGACUUGGAGGUUGUGCCCUUGAGGCGUGGCUUCCGGAGCUAACGCGUUAAGUCGACCGCCUGGGGAGUACGGCCGCAAGGUUAAAACUCAAAUGAAUUGACGGGGGCCCGCACAAGCGGUGGAGCAUGUGGUUUAAUUCGAUGCAACGCGAAGAACCUUACCUGGUCUUGACAUCCACGGAAGUUUUCAGCGAUGAGAAUGUGCCUUCGGGAACCGUGAGACAGGUGCUGCAUGGCUGUCGUCAGCUCGUGUUGUGAAAUGUUGGGUUAAGUCCCGCAACGAGCGCAACCCUUAUCCUUUGUUGCCAGCGGUCCGGCCGGGAACUCAAAGGAGACUGCCAGUGAUAAACUGGAGGAAGGUGGGGAUGACGUCAAGUCAUCAUGCCCCUUACGACCAGGGCUACACACGUGCUACAAUGGCGCAUACAAAGAGAAGCGACCUCGCGAGAGCAAGCGGACCUCAUAAAGUGCGUCGUAGUCCGGAUUGGAGUCUGCAACUCGACUCCAUGAAGUCGGAAUCGCUAGUAAUCGUGGAUCAGAAUGCCACGGUGAAUACGUUCCCGGGCCUUGUACACACCGCCCGUCACACCAUGGGAGUGGGUUGCAAAAGAAGUAGGUAGCUUAACCUUCGGGAGGGCGCUUACCACUUUGUGAUUCAUGACUGGGGUGAAGUCGUAACAAGGUA